rnacentral:rRNA from 1 species
UACGGAGGGUGCGAGCGUUGUUCGGAAUCACUGGGCGUAAAGCGCGUGUAGGCGGCCUUGUAAGUCUGGUGUGAAAGCCCGGGGCUUACCCCCGGAAGUGCACUGGAAACUGCAAGGCUUGAGUACCGGAGAGGAAGGUGGAAUUCCUGGUGUAGCGGUGAAAUGCGUAGAUAUCAGGAGGAACACCGGUGGCGAAGGCGGCCCCCUGGACCGGUACUGACGCUGAGGCGCGAAAGCGUGGGUAGCAAACGGG